rnacentral:rRNA from 1 species
AUUGAACGCUGGCGGCAGGCCUAACACAUGCAAGUCUUGCGAGCGGCGGACGGGUGAGUAAUGUAUGGGGAUCUGCCUGAUGGAGGGGGAUAACUACUGGAAACGGUAGCUAAUACCGCAUACCAUCCGAUGGACCCAUAUGGGAUUAGCUUGUAGGUAAGGUAACGGCUUACCUAGGCGACGAUCCCUAGCUGGUCUGAGAGGAUGAUCAGCCACACGGGGACUGAGAAACGGCCCAGACUCCUACGGGAGGCAGCAGUGGGGAAUAUGGCCAAAUGGGCGAAAGCAUGAUGCAGCCAUGCCGGGUGUAUGAAGAAGGCCUUCGGGUUGUAAAGUACUUUCAGUCGGGAGGCGUUACCGACAGAAGAAGCACCGGCUAACUCCGUGCCAGCAGCCGCGGUAAUA